AUGGAAAUGAUGAUUAUUUCCCCAGAUGAUCGACGCUGAUUAUACUGUGCGAUUUUACUCAUUUUUGAGAAUCCAAGCCAGUCUUCUGAUCCAU
rfam:Ricinus communis cultivar Hale ctg_1100012357936, whole genome shotgun sequence.